AUACAUGGUCACGGUUAUCCUGGACUGUGUUCCGGGAUAAAAGUGGCCUCCUUGAAAGAAAGGGCGGGCACUCUCGUGUUUCAACUCCACCAUACUAUUAAUAGUUGUGGUGUGUACUUACAGCCUCUACUAUAAGCAAGUGAAUGGGGCCGGUGCGUGGCGAACGGAACAGUUCAUCAAGCCAUUUCUCGCCGUGACCCCCAAAAUAGGAAGAGAGGUACUUUACAAAUAGGGGCUAAUUGCUUCGCACCUGACUGCCCUCUCGAUACCUUCUCAGAGCUUUGUAACUAGUGGCCGGGUCGCUGUUUUCCCAGUGCGCGGAGCCCCAGGUGUUAGUGGUUUCUCAUUGGGUCAAUAAUACUAAUCCCUCUUUUUUGUGCUCCUAGGGCGGGAAGAAGAAAAGAAAACGCGAAGCGUUCUCUUGCUUUCCCAACCUCUGGCUUCUAAAGGCUGCCCUCUCUUAGCUGGAGCUUAAAAUCGACAUCCCUUUCUUUGUUUUUUUGGCAAAGAAAGAAAGAGAGAGGGAUGGUGAAGGAUAUGGCGAGGAUGGUGAAGGAUAUGGAGAGAGAUGGUUGGGAAUCCUGUAAACACAAAAAGGGAUCAGUGGGGAAAAAAAGGGAUGGAUCAAUGAUUUUUCAGUCCCUUUUGCAAUUAUAGAAGCAAGGAACAGGUUGAGAGGAGAAAAAAAAGGCGGAGAGGAGAUCUUUGAGAGAGACGUUAGGAGCCCUGUGAAAGGGUCUCUUUUGCAGCACUGAAAGCAACAAACAGAGGGAGAGGAGCAGCAAACAACCUGAAUUAGGCUAACCUGGUCUCCUCCAACUUGGGUCAAGUUCCUCCAAGAGGAAGAGAAGGACAUGAUGUAUAUGAUGUUCGUGCUACUCUAAAAGAACUGAAGCUAUUUACAGACUCUGCUGAGAGGGUUGAUAUCCAGGCCAAAUUUGAAGGAGAAGGAGAAUGUGGGAAGGCUUGUCGAAAUGUUUCUCAAUAUCUCUUAGUUCUGCUCAAGUUCUGUUGAUGGCUCUGUUCUAAUUCUGUUAGCAUACAACCAAGUAAGUACAUUUAUGUUGUUUUCUUUCCGUUUCUUAAAUUUCAGUUUCAUUUGCGAUCAUAACCUCUUGGCAGUUCAUGUCUUUUCAACUAUUGUUUGCUUGCCACGUUUCAUUUACAUUCAUUUUCCAACUGGGCGUCAUGAUUUGUUUUCUUGGGACUGUAUCUUCAGACAAAUAAUUUUUCCUUCCCUUCCUCUUUCAUUGCAAAAAAAAAACAGAGCAUGUUAGGAACUAGGAAGCAAUGAAAAUAAAAAAUACUCUCUCUUUCAGAUUUCAAUCUCUUUGUUUCUUCUCUUUGAAAAAUGACUUAAGUUUUUAUGGGAAGGAAUUCGUUGAUCAUAUUAUUUUUGAAGUUUGAUUCUUCAUGUAAUCUAGUGGAUUUCAAAUUAUCUUUUACUUUCUCUGUGAUUACCCAUCUUCCCCGUCUCUCUAAAUAUAUAAUGGGUUUUUGAUUUGUAGAUUUCACAAAAAUCUUGCAUAGCUUAACUAAAAAAAUCCAUAUAGCCUCACAAUAUUCAAACUUUCCAAAUUCACAAGCCCGAUUCAAGGAAGGAGAUCCACGGGGAAGAGUUGUAGCUGCUACCUAGGUCGCGAACACACAAAUCCACAACUAGACAGGCAAGACAAAUGAAUAAAGUGUUCCUGAUGGUGGAGAUGGUGGCGUCAAUUCUGUCGUAAAGACUGCAACAACCCGCCAUCUAUUGGCCAGGCCUAUUAGACCGACCAGCGUCCUAUGGUUUUGGCAGGGAGGCAUUCGAGUCUGGUGAUUGUUCAUUGGAUAUUUAGCUAAGUUGGAUAUGGCAUGGAUAUGGCAUGGAUAUGGCAUGGAUAUGAUCUACCAAAAUGACUUGACUAGUAGCUAUAAGAGGUUUUAUUUUUUUAUGGAGGUAAGGAUUUUUUGAUACUUAAAUAAAUAUUUUUUUUUUAAAAAAAAAUAUUUUAGAAAGAGAUGCUAUGAAAAUAUUACAUGUAGUAGGGAAUGAAGAUUGUGAAUCUUUGUUUUGAAGGUCUUAUAGUGUAUUUAUAGCCUAUGAAUCUUGUUUUUCUAUAAAGAAAAAAGUCUGAAGUGUAAUUUUAUCCUUAUAGCAUUUAAUGAGUAAUAAAUAUCUCUUAAAUUUG